rnacentral:rRNA from 1 species
AACAAACGCUGGCGGCGUGCCUAACACAUGCAAGUCGUACGAGAAAGGGUCCUUCGGGAUCUGAGUAAAGUGGCGCACGGGUGAGUAACGCGUGGAUAAUCUGCCCUUCAGUUGGGAAUAACUCAUCGAAAGGUGGGCUAAUACCGAAUAAUACUGUGAGACCUCGGUCGAUCAGUCAAAGAGAGCCUCUGCUUGCAUGCCCUUGCUGAAGGAUGAGUCCGCGUACCAUUAGCUAGUUGGUAGGGUAAUAGCCUACCAAGGCGACGAUGGUUAGCUGGUCUGAGAGGAUGAUCAGCCACACUGGAACUGAGACACGGUCCAGACUCCUACGGGAGGCAGCAGUGAGGAAUCUUGCGCAAUGGGGGAAACCCUGACGCAGCAACGCCGCGUGAGUGAGGAAGGUCUUCGGAUUGUAAAGCUCUGUCGGAUGGAAAGAACCGCAUAGGGGUAAAUAGCGCCUAUGUCUGACGGUACCAUCAAAGGAAGCACCGGCUAACUCCGUGCCAGCCGCCGCGGUAACAC